GAUACUGGGAGUGCAGGAAUGGGUAUUCUCCUGAGGACAAACAAGUAGCUGGCUCCACAAGAAAGUAGCCUGAUAGCUGAAGGAUCUGCCACUGCUUCUACUUUUGAAAUUCUAGGAACCAAAGAUCUGCAGUUCUUCUCUUCAUUUCCUGCCUUUGGAUCAAAGUCCCUUCGACCAGUUAGAUGUUCACAAACAUCUUCAGCCUCUCCCUGAAGGAGUCGAUGGUCCCCACAUCCUUCAAGGCGUCUACCAUCAUUCCCGCCCCCAAGAAAUCGGUGGUCUCAUGUCUAAAUGACUACCACCCUAUCGCACCAACAUUAGUCAUCAUGAAGUGCCUUGAGCAGCUGGUCAGAAGGCACAUCUGAUCCUCCCUCCAUGACUUGCUGGACCCUCUCCAAUUUGCCUACAGAAGAAACUGAGUUACAGGCGACGCCGUGGCAGCACACAGAGCCCUCACUCAUCUGGAAAAAUGAAAC